ACCCGCUGAACUUAAGCAUAUCAAUAAGCGGAGGAAAAGAAACCAACAGGGAUUGCCCUAGUAACGGCGAGUGAAGCGGCAACAGCUCAAAUUUGAAAUCUGGCUUUCGGGCCCGAGUUGUAAUUUGUAGAGGAUACUUUUGAUGCGGUGCCUUCCGAGUUCCCUGGAACGGGACGCCAUAGAGGGUGAGAGCCCCGUCUGGUUGGAUGCCAAAUCUCUGUAAAGUUCCUUCGACGAGUCGAGUAGUUUGGGAAUGCUGCUCUAAAUGGGAGGUAUAUGUCUUCUAAAGCUAAAUAUUGGCCAGAGACCGAUAGCGCACAAGUAGAGUGAUCGAAAGAUGAAAAGCACUUUGAAAAGAGAGUUAAAAAGUACGUGAAAUUGUUGAAAGGGAAGCGUCUAUGACCAGACUUGGACUUGGUUAAUCAUCUGGGGUUCUCCCCAGUGCACUUUUCCAGUUCAGGCCAGCAUCAGUUUUCGCCGGGGGAUAAAGGCAGCGGGAAUGUGGCUCUCCUCGGGGAGUGUUAUAGCCCGUUGUGUAAUACCCUGGUGGGGACUGAGGUUCGCGCUUCUGCAAGGAUGCUGGCGUAAUGGUCAU
rnacentral:rRNA from 1 species